CAGCCGCGCAUGAGCGCUGGGCCUUUCCGGGUCGGUGCAGGCGGAGGGUGGCGGUGCUUGCGGCUGCGGGCGCUCGGGGGAGGGCCGUAUGGAGCGACGCGGUUCGCCAGGUUUGGGUGGCGGAGCGGGUGCUAAUUGUCGGUCUCGUCCCCGGCCGGCGCGCGUAGCCCCGAGGGGCCCUCCCUGGGGCCGGGCCUAGAGCGGUGCCCCCAGAUCGCGGGUUGACCCUCCCAGCUGAGCUCAGACACCUGCUCCAGAAGACCUUCCACCCAGAGCGGACCUUUUAGCCCAAGCUCCCCUUUCCUAAGAUGAGGUUCUGUUCGCCAUGGUCGUACAGGGACGGAGGAGAGAUCACAGGCACGCAGAGAGAGAAGAAGAAGCAGGCUCCCCACUGAGCAGAGAGCCCAAUGCGGGGCUUGAUCCCAGGACCCUGGGAUCAUGACCUAAGCCGAAAGCAGAGGUUUUAACCCACUGAGCCACCUAGGCACCCCAAUGAUUCCCAUUCUGGGAAAGUCAGCCCCUGUGUUGGGAGGAUACUCAAGCAGCCUGAGAGAAGGCUCACGUCGGGGAGCACCUGAAGCCUCCUGCCAAUGUCCAGCACCACCCGAGUAAAGCUAUCCCCAUAGCCUAUCUGCAGCCCCAGCCAAGGUUUGGAUGAUGGCAGCUCUGGGCAUCAUCUUGUCUGCAAGGACAGAACUAGCUGUCUCACUCUUUCCCAAUUCCUGACCAAAGCAACUGCAUGUGAUGGUCCUAGGAUCCUGGGAUCGAGCCCCUCAUCAGGCUCCCUGCUCAGCAGGGAGUCUGCAUCUCCCUUUACUGUUUGUUUUGAACCACUUAGUUUUUGGGUAACAGACAAGAUGUGUCCAGAGAAUGUUUUGCUGUAGGAUGAAGCUCCAAUUCCAAGGGGAUGUAUCCUAGUGUCUCAGCUUCAUGUCAGAGGGAUUCAUGGGCUUGAGCGAGGUGUCCACUCUAGCUAGCCCAGAGCUCCCACAACAGUUGUCUGGGAAGUCUGGGGGCCUCACCCCAAGUAUGUGUAGUCCCAUUCUCAGCCAAGGACAGUGGGACAUCUUAGACUCCCCUUGACACACUUGCCUGUCCUCCAGUGCCCUCUCUACAGAUUCUAACAGCAGCACUGGCCCCUAAGAUCAGUCAUAUGGUGUCCCCUGGCUGGACCACAUCUCCCUGUGCCAUGGUGAGGGACUUCCACAAGUACAGAGCUGGGUGGGCAAGGAGUACCUUGUGUAUUUCCCUUCACUGGAGACUGUAGUCCUGCCUUUCCUGUUUUGUCACACCUGAAAACAGCUGCGUCAUCUGUUUUGCCCAUGUUAAUUGUUGUUGUCAGUGGGAGGGCCCAUCUACUACAGGAUUCUCUGUUCUAGCCUCAAUCCAAUUUGCUUUUUUUUUAAGAUUUUAUUUAUUUAUUUGACAGACAGAGAUCACAAGGAGGCAGAGAGGCAGGCAGAGAGAGAGGGGGAAGCAGGCUCCCUGCUGAACAGAGCCCGAUGCGGGGCUCGAUCCCAGGACCCUGAGAUCAUGACCUGAGCCGAAGGCAGA